AUUGAACGCUGGCGGCAUGCUUUACACAUGCAAGUCGAACGGUAACAGGCCGCAAGGUGCUGACGAGUGGCGAACGGGUGAGUAAUGCAUCGGAACGAGCCCAGUCGUGGGGGAUAACUACUCGAAAGAGUAGCUAAUACCGCAUACGAUCUAUGGAUGAAAGCGGGGGACCGUAAGGCCUCGCGCGAUUGGAGCGGCCGAUGUCAGAUUAGGUAGUUGGUGGGGUAAAGGCUCACCAAGCCAACGAUCUGUAGCUGGUCUGAGAGGACGACCAGCCACACUGGGACUGAGACACGGCCCAGACUCCUACGAUAGGCAGCAGUGGGGAAUUUUGGACAAUGGGCGCAAGCCUGAUCCAGCAAUGCCGCGUGCAGGAAGAAGGCCUUCGGGUUGUAAACUGCUUUUGUACGGAACGAAACGGCUCUGGUUAAUACCCGGGGCUAAUGACGGUACCGUAAGAAUAAGCACCGGCUAACUACGUG
rnacentral:rRNA from 1 species